rnacentral:rRNA from 1 species
GAUGAACGCUGGCGGCGUGCCUAAUACAUGCAAGUAGAACGCUGAAGCUUGGUGCUUGCACCGAGCGGAUGAGUUGCGAACGGGUGAGUAACGCGUAGGUAACCUGCCUCUUAGCGGGGGAUAACUAUUGGAAACGAUAGCUAAUACCGCAUAAAAGUCGAUAUCGCAUGAUAUUGAUUUGAAAGGUGCAAUUGCAUCACUAAGAGAUGGACCUGCGUUGUAUUAGCUAGUUGGUGAGGUAACGGCUCACCAAGGCAACGAUACAUAGCCGACCUGAGAGGGUGAUCGGCCACACUGGGACUGAGACACGGCCCAGACUCCUACGGGAGGCAGCAGUAGGGAAUCUUCGGCAAUGGGGGCAACCCUGACCGAGCAACGCCGCGUGAGUGAAGAAGGUUUUCGGAUCGGAAAGCUCUGUUGUAAGAGAAGAACGAGUGUGAGAGUGGAAAGUUCACACUGUGACGGUAUCUUACCAGAAAGGGACGGCUAACUACGUG